AGUUUGAUCCUGGCUCAGGAUGAACGCUAGCGGCAGGCUUAAUACAUGCAAGUCGAGGGGCAGCACGAAUAGCAAUAUUUGGUGGCGACCGGCGCACGGGUGCGUAGCACGUAUACAAUCUACCUUAAACAGGGGGAUAGCCUUUCGAAAGAGAGAUUAAUACCCCGUAAUAAAUUGAAUGGCAUCAUUUGAUUUUGAAAGCUCCGGCGGUUUAAGAUGAGUAUGCGUCUGAUUAGCUAGUAGGUGAGGUAACGGCUCACCUAGGCUACGAUCAGUAGGGGAUCUGAGAGGACUAACCCCCACACUGGUACUGAGACACGGACCAGACUCCUACGGGAGGCAGCAGUAAGGAAUAUUGGUCAAUGGAGGCAACUCUGAACCAGCCAUGCCGCGUGCAGGAUGAAGGCCCUAUGGGUCGUAAACUGCUUUUAUACCAGAGAAAACCUCAGUACGUGUACUGAGCUGAUAGUAUGGYAAGAAUAAGCAUCGGCUAACUUCGUGCCAGCAGCCGCGGUAAGACGAACGAUGCAAGCGUUAUCCGGAUUCAUUGGGUUUAAAGGGUGC
rnacentral:rRNA from 1 species